GACGAACCACACGAACGUUAUUCGGAAUUACUGGGCUUAAAGGGUGCGUAGGCGGCGCAGAAAGUUGGGUGUGAAAUCCCUCGGCUCAACCGAGGAACUGCGCCCAAAACUACUGUGCUUGAGGAAGAUAGAGGUAAGCGGAACUUACGGUGGAGCGGUGAAAUGCGUUGAUAUCGUAAGGAACACCUGUGGCGAAAGCGGCUUACUGGGCCUUUUCUGACGCUGAUGCACGAAAGCCAGGGGAGCAAACGGG
rnacentral:rRNA from 1 species